rnacentral:lncRNA from 1 species
ACCAGGGAUCGAACUCACGACCGCCUGCUUGCAAGGAAGGUGCUUAUGCCGCUGAGCUAAAUCCUCAGCCCGACUUGAACUUAAUUGCACAUCACCACCGGAGAGGAGAUCCAACAGGCUUUCAGAGGAGGGAAAAACUCAAUUCAUAAAAAGUUUUUUGAAAACAAAGGUACAAAUAUAAUCAGAGUUCUCAAACCUGGAAUCUGAAAGUCCGUGGAACAAUACCUUCUGAAGGAAAAGUAUUUCCUGCCUAGAAUUCUAUACCUAAACUAUCAAGAAGUAUAAGGGAAGGGCCCAUUUUCAGACAUGCGGAGUUAAAAAAAAAAGGCACCUCCUGACCAUCCCUUUUAGGAAGCUGCUAAAGGGUAUGCUCCAGCAGAGCGAGGGAAGAAACCUAGAAAGAGUAAGAUGCAAGACAGAGUAAAUAGGGACUCCAGUACAAAAGCUGUGCCAGUGGGAAACACCAUACCAGACGGAAGUCCCAGCAGCCAGGGAACAAUGUGGCAGGCACGGGAAGCGAUGUGUGCAGACUGAAGCUGGUCAGAAGACUUCAGGGAAGAUCUAUUCCAUAGGACAGAACUGUGCUGAAAAUAUGAAGAGGAGGUUUACACACCCGGGGAAAAACGAAGGGUGCUAACGACAGAACUAAAUAAAUAGGAAGCAUUAGAAAGGUGUGACAUAGGCACAAUCAUAGUAAUGCAGACUCCAAAGGCUCCUGCACUUGUAAAAAUCAUCAAGUCACAGAGAUGGUGUGCAUCUUCACCCUGUCCCCGACCUUGCCGCAGCCCUCUCCCACCCUUCCUGUUCACCACCAAUGGCACAAGUCAGCCUCGAUGGAUCCAAAUGGCCCCUGAGUUGAAGAUCCUGCUUGGUGUCAAUCAGUCUGGCAAGCCUGAGGGACUCGGGGCUCACUAAACUGUGACAACUGGAGAGAGCCCCCAACUCUUCCCAGUCCAGUGUUACGUACCCCAGCACCUGUGUCUCUUGUUCUUGAUGGACUUGUGGUGACUGAUGGUGAGAUUUUACCCAGGAGUCUACAAAGAUUUCAGGAGCCUAUGAACUCUAGGAAUCACAGAACUCAAAUUUGAUGAGAAUACUUUGUAUUUUGUAAGGGGAAAAUUGGAAGGUUCACAGUUUUCAUCAGAUCUUCAAAGUCC